CAUGAGCCACCGCGCCCGGCCUAGUCUUUUAUUCUUGUAGGUGAUUAAAGUUUUAGCAUUUCUCACUUAGGCACUUUAUAGCUAUUAGGCACUGUGCUUACAUGUACAACUUCACUUCUAAAGAGCUUCUGUGUUGCCAUAGAAAUUAAUUAGUAGUAUAUUUACACCAUAAAAUGGCAAAAGAGCUUUCUAACAAGGACCUUAGGGAGCUGAAAUCUUUCCCUCAGCAAGAAGACAAGACAGACUUAAGAGAAAAACCUCAACUCAUGAAUUCCUAGCCUGUUACCAGGGCAGCAGUUUACCAUGUUGGUGUGUCAUCUAUAUGGUUUUGUUGAUCACCCAAGGUGGACAAAUGAAAGAAAAUCUGCAUUGUAAAAGAUGAAAUUAGGUGCUGUGAGGAAGUGACCCAGAGCCUCUCACUAUGUGUUGUGCACAGCAGGUGCUGGAUAAACUGUUUAAACAAUUCCAUGGAAAAGCAACACAGCCAUCACUCGAAUGAGCCUGGGUAUUUUAUAGUGCUUAAGGAAACUUGGAAACAGUAUAUUUUAGCAUGCACUCGAAACAUCUCACUUUCCAUUUUUCAAUGUUGAUUAAAGAUACUUAUUGCUUAUAUAAAGUGCCAAGUUAACCUCACCUCUCUUUAAGCUUUCAAAUUCCAAAUUAGUUAAGUCUGAAUUAACAGGGCAUUAAUGUACUGUAACAUGGGUGUCAGGCAUGAUGAAAUGGGUGAAGUGCCCACAGAAGCUGAAAUUCAGGUUAACUUCAGAUUUAAUUUUAACCAUCCAUGUAUCUGAUUACAGCUUCAAACAUGUGAGGAAUCAUAAAGCAGCAGCCCACUUUCAUUUAUAAAAGAAUGGGUAUCAAGUUCUGAAGGUACAGCAACAGAAUGAACAGACCUCAGGGUCUUCUAGUGAGAAAAGAGCCACAGCUAGGACAGAGAGGGAGGAUUCAGCUGUUUGAGAACUGGUCACUGUGCACAGUAUCUUGAGAAAACGAAACCCUCUAAAUCUGCCUUCCAAAAUUUCCUAUGAAAACAUGUCUCUGGAUUUACAAUGCAAGUUGCAUUUGCUCUAGAAAAGUUGGUGAUAGUGACCUUUGCUGAACUGCCCUUCCCCCAACCCCUCCCAUAAAAAGGCAAAUUGCUUCAGUGAUUUCCAGACUGCUUGGAAACGGGUAAUAUAAUGGUGAAAAUGUUGUUGCGUCCCAAGCUUUUAUAAAGUCUUUCCUUAUAUCUGGAUUGCAACUUCAACUUUCAGAUAGUAUGGGUCAGUGUGCUGCCAUUAAUCCCACUCUGGCCUUCUGUUGCCCACAUGUCCUUUGUGGGAUGUUACUGGAAUGUUAGGAACUAUCAUAAACUGUGCUUGCAUCAGCCUUUCAGUAUUUUACAUAGCUCAGAAAUGAAAUCUAACCAAACCCCAACAGUAUAUAACAAUUACAAUAACACUAACUGGACAGGAGAAUGAGGAGGAGCCACAACACUUGCCACUAAGUCAGACCUCAGGGUGGUUGGAGUCACGUGGUCUCAGGUCCUUGUAUUGUGCAGAGGGGACAGAGCUAUUGUUCACGUUGAAACUUUAUGUUAAAUAUGCACGAAGAAAAAUUCAAGGGUAACUGCAAAGUGAACAGAAACAGAGCUACAAUUCGGUAGAAGAAAACAUGAAGCACAGAGAGGCAGAGGAAAUUAAUAUAGGGUGGAAAGAAAACAUAUAAUAAUCAUCACAACAUACAUGGACAACCCUUGGCAAAAUAACAAAUUCCAAAAGUAACAGAAAAGAAUCUGCUUAUAUGCUAUUCAUACACUUGUUCACAUUAUAAUGAUGAACUUUGGUUUAUCACAUCAUUACAGCUGAAAUGAGGUCACAAAUUGGGAGAAGAUAUUUAUACCUCACAUCAUCCACGAAGUAUUAACAUCCAGAAUAAAGAAUGUCUACACAUGAAAAAGAGAAACACAAAUAGCCCUUUAGAAAAUUGUCCAACAGGUUAGUCACCAAAGAAGGGACCUGAAAGACAAGUAAAUAUGUGAGAAGUUCCUCGACUUCACCAGUAAAUGGGGAGAUGGGAAUUGAAGUCACAGUGGGAUGCCCUUUUCACCCUCUUCGGUUUGAGAACACCAAAUGUUGGCAAGAAUGUGGAUCAACAAAACUUACCCAAUUACUAGUGGAAAUGUAACAUUAGUGCAACCUCUUGGGAAAUUAAUUACCUCGUAAAGAUGCACCUACUCUAAAUGCAGGAAUGCAACUCCUAGAGCAGUGGUUUUCAACUAUGGCUGCAUGUAACCCCCCUGAGGAACACACAAAACCAAACAAAAUUGAUGUCCAAGCCCUAGCCCAGACCAACUAAAACAGCAAAGCUCCCCAAAAGAUUCUUGUGUGCAGCCAGGAUUAAAUGAGAAUCACUGCCCUGCAGAAACUCUCCACAUGCACAUGAAUACUUGUUUAUGGGUGCUCCCACCAGCACUGUUAAUGAUGAGAAGAAAAAAAUAACCUAAAUGUCAAGUAACUAAAAUAUGGAUAGAAAAUUGUCAUAAUCAUUGACUAGCAAGAAAAAUUUGAGCUACAUAAACAUGCAUGAAUCUUGCAGCAAAAGUAGUUGCAGAACACCACAUAUGCACAUCAUUUACAGAUUUAAAAC
rnacentral:lncRNA from 1 species